rnacentral:sRNA from 1 species
UUUUAUACUAAUGUGCGCGUUAGGGAUUGAAAUGGCAUCCUUUUUAUUUCUUUUCUAAAAUAAAAAGAUAUAAUGUAAAGCCCGACCUUUA